rnacentral:rRNA from 1 species
UACAGGGGGUGCAAACGUUGCUCGGAAUCAUUGGGCGUAAAGCGCACGUAGGCGGUUCGUUAUGUCGGAUGUGAAAGCCUUUGGCUUAACCGAGGAAGUGCAUCCGAAACUGGCGAGCUAGAGUACUAAAGAGGAUCGCGGAAUUCCCGGUGUAGAGGUGAAAUUCGUAGAUAUCGGGAGGAACACCGGUGGCGAAGGCGGCGAUCUGGGUAGAUACUGACGCUGAGGUGCGAAAGCGUGGGGAGCAACAGGG